UACGGAGGGUGCGAGCGUUGUCCGGAAUCACUGGGCGUAAAGGGCGCGUAGGCGGCUCGGUAAGUAGGGGGUGAAAUCCUGCGGCUUAACCGCAGGGCUGCCUUCUAAACUGUCGAGCUCGAGCACGGUAGAGGCAGAUGGAAUUCCCGGUGUAGCGGUGGAAUGCGUAGAGAUCGGGAAGAACACCGGUGGCGAAGGCGGGUCUCUGGGCCGAUAUUGACGCUGAGGAGCGAAAGCGUGGGGAGCGAACAGG
rnacentral:rRNA from 1 species